CUGGACAGUACUGACGCUGAGAUGCGAAAGCGUGGGGAGCAAACAGGAUUAGAUACCUGGUAGUCCAUGCUGUAAACGAUGUCGAUUUGGAGUUUGUUGCCUAGAGUGAUGGGCUCCGAAGCUAACGCGAUAAAUCGACCGCCUGGGGAGUACGGCCGCAAGGUUAAAACUCAAAUGAAUUGACGGGGGCCCGCACAAGCGGUGGAGCAUGUGGUUUAAUUCGAUGCAACGCGAAGAACCUUACCUGGUCUUGACAUCCAUAGAAUUCUGCAGAGAUGUGGGAGUGCCUUCGGGAACUAUGAGACAGGUGCUGCAUGGCUGUCGUCAGCUCGUGUUGUGAAAUGUUGGGUUAAGUCCCGCAACGAGCGCAACCCUUAUUCUUUGUUGCCAGCGAUUUGGUCGGGAACUCAAAGGAGACUGCCGUUGAUAAAGCGGAGGAAGGUGGGGACGACGUCAAGUCAUCAUGGCCCUUACGACCAGGGCUACACACGUGCUACAAUGGCGUAUACAAAGGGAAGCGAAGGUGCGAGCUGGAGCGGAUCUCAUAAAGUACGUCUAAGUUCGGAUUGGAGUCUGCAACUCGACUCCAUGAAGUCGGAAUCGCUAGUAAUCGUAGAUCAGAAUGCUACGGUGAAUACGUUCCCGGGCCUUGUACACACCGCCCGUCACACCAUGGGAGUGGGUUGCACCAGAAGUAGAUAGCUUAACCGCGAGGGGGGCGUCUACCACGGUGUGAUUCAUGACCGGGGUGAAGUCGUAACAAGGUAACCA
rnacentral:rRNA from 1 species